GACGAACGCUGGCGGCGUGCUUAACACAUGCAAGUCGAACGGUGAAGGGGUCUGCUUUUGUGGGCCCUGGAUGAGUGGCGAACGGGUGAGUAACACGUGAGUAACCUGCCCCCUUCUUCUGGAUAACCGCAUGAAAGUGUGGCUAAUACGGGAUAUUCUGGGUCUGUCGCAUGAUGGGUCUGGGAAAGAUUGCGCCUUUGGGUGUUUUUGGCGGGGGAUGGGCUCGCGGCCUAUCAGCUUGUUGGUGGGGUGAUGGCCUACCAGGGCGGUGACGGGAAGCCGGGUGGGGGGGGGGGACGGUCACACUGGGACUGGGACACUGCCCAGAGUGCUACGGGAGGGAGCGGUAGGGAAGAGUGCACAAUGGGGGCAAGCCUGAUGCAGCGACGCCGGGUGAGGGAUGGAGGCGUUCGGGUUGUAAACCUUUUUCGCCAGUGAAGCAGGCCUGCUCCAUGUGGGUGGGUUGACGGUAGCUGGAUAAGAAGCGCCGGCUAACUACGUG
rnacentral:rRNA from 1 species